rnacentral:misc_RNA from 1 species
UCGAGACCCGCCGCCACGAGCAGACCGCGAACACGUUCCCGCCCCACGGGCCCCCGACGGCCGGGCGCCCGCGCCCCCCGUCGGAGCCCCAAACCCCCGCCCGGCCCUCGCGCGAGCGAGCGCGGCCGCCGGGGACAACCAACCCACGGCGCGGCAGGCGCCAAGGAUCACAACGGCGGAGCGCCGCUCCCCCGCCGCGCACCCGUCCGCGGCGUGCCCGCGGGGGACGCGCGCCUCCCUGGAUUGAACACCGAACGAAAC